AUUGAACGCUGGCGGCAGGCCUAACACAUGCAAGUCGAACGAGCGGCGGACGGGUGAGUAAGGUGUGGGAAUCUGCGCGAUCGAGGGGGAUAACUACUGGAAACGGUGGCUAAUACCGCAUACUAUAGGAUGAACCCAUAUGGGAUUAGCUAGUGGGUGGGGUAAAGGCACACCUAGGCGACGAUCUCUAGCUGUUCUGAGAGGAUGAUCAGCCACACUGGGACUGAGACACGGCCCAGACUCCUACGGGAGGCAGCAGUGGGGAAUAUUGCGCAAUGGGCGCAAGCCUGAUGCAGCCAUGCCGCGUGUAUGAAGAAGGCCUUAGGGUUGUAAAGUACUUUCAGCGGGGAGGCGUUACCCGCAGAAGAAGCACCGGCUAACUCCGUGCCAGCCGCCGCGGUAAUUC
rnacentral:rRNA from 1 species